AAAAUACCUGAUAUUAUUUGCUUCAAUUGCAGCUAUUGCACCAGUGAAGGAUGUCUGUGUGCCGGUUUGUGCUCAGUUUCUCAGCCAGCGGGCCUGAGAAAGUGUGCCACAGCAGUCUGUCUAGUGGUGCUCUUUGUUCUGGAAGGACGCAAGCAUUGCUGAGGAGCCAUUUGACCUGCCGCCACACUAAUAUUGUAUUUGGCAAAGCCGAAGGCCUCUGCAAGCAGCCAGUCAUUCCAAGUCUCAACCAAUCCUUCCUCUAGUCAGCCAAUUUCUAGUGUCUAUGCGGAAAGGACUUGCGCAAGAGUGUACACGGGACACUAAAAAAGCGACAAGGACAGGC